GCUGGAGCUCGGACGCGAGUUCUAUCGG
rnacentral:snRNA from 1 species